CGCGAAGGAUUUGUUGCGAGUUCGAGAGUUCGACGGAAGUCUGAAGGUUCGUUGGGAGUUCGCGCAGCUCGCCAAGAAAGAUCGGAGCUUGCCGAAGAAGCUCGUUGGAACUUGCUAAGAACAAAUCGUGAAGUCUAGGAGCUUGCCGGGGAGUCCGCAGAAUGGUUUCCGAGAGUUCAUCGGAAGACCGCCGGAAGUUUGCCGGAAGCUCGCCAGAAGAAGUCUUGACUUGCGGACUUUGUAAUGGUUUAGAAAAUGUCUUUAAAAUCAUAGUUAGCACGUUAAUUAGGGUUAGGAUUAGGUGUUAAUCCUAUAACCCAAGUAGGGGCCAAUUAGGCCCAAGUUCGGACUGGUUUGGGCCAAGUUUGGAGCCAAACCAAGUGAGCUGAAAUAGUGAAAGAGGUG
rnacentral:lncRNA from 1 species